GAUGAACGCUGGCGGCGUGCCUAAUACAUGCAAGUCGAGCGAACAGAUAAGGAGCUUGCUCCUUUGACGUUAGCGGCGGACGGGUGAGUAACACGUGGGUAACCUACCUAUAAGACUGGGAUAACUUCGGGAAACCGGAGCUAAUACCGGAUAACAUUUGGAACCGCAUGGUUCUAAAGUGAAAGAUGGUUUUGCUAUCACUUAUAGAUGGACCCGCGCCGUAUUAGCUAGAUGGUAAGGUAACGGCUUACCAAGGCAACGAUACGUAGCCGACCUGAGAGGGUGAUCGGCCACACUGGAACUGAGACACGGUCCAGACUCCUACGGGAGGCAGCAGUAGGGAAUCUUCCGCAAUGGGCGAAAGCCUGACGGAGCAACGCCGCGUGAGUGAUGAAGGGUUUCGGCUCGUAAAACUCUGUUAUUAGGGAAGAACAAAUGUGUAAGUAACUGUGCACGUCUUGACGGUACCUAAUCAGAAAGCCACGGCUAACUACGUG
rnacentral:rRNA from 1 species